rnacentral:rRNA from 1 species
GGACGAACGCUGGCGGCGUGCUUAACACAUGCAAGUCGAGCGGUAAGGCCCUUUCGGGGGUACACGAGCGGCGAACGGGUGAGUAACACGUGGGUGACCUGCCCUCAGCUCUGGGAUAAGCCUGGGAAACCGGGUCUAAUACUGGAUAUGACUCCAUGACGCAUGUUGUGGGGUGGAAAGCCUUGUGCGGCUGAGGAUGGGCCCGCGGCCUAUCAGCUUGUUGGUGGGGUGAUGGCCUACCAAGGCGACGACGGGUAGCCGGCCUGAGAGGGCGACCGGCCACACUGGGACUGAGACACGGCCCAGACUCCUACGGGAGGCAGCAGUGGGGAAUCUUGCGCAAUGGGCGAAAGCCUGACGCAGCGACGCCGCGUGAGGGAUGACGGCCU